rnacentral:rRNA from 1 species
AACGAACGUUGGCGGCGUGGAUUAGGCAUGCAAGUCGCACGAAUCCCCGUGGGGGCAACCCCGCGGGGGGAAGUGGCGGAAGGGGCAGUAAGGCGUGGGUAACCUGCCCCCGGGGUUCGGAAUAGCCCCCCCUAACGGGGGGGUAAUACCGAAUGCCGUGGCCGGGGGGCAUCUCCCCGGUCACGAAAGCUCAGGCGCCCCGGGAGGGGCCCACGUGGUAUUAGCUAGUUGGUGGGGUGACGGCCCACCAAGGCCAAGAUGCCUAGCAGGUGUGAGAGCACGACCUGCGCCACUGGCACUGGGACACUGGCCAGACUCCUACGGGAGGCUGCAGUCGAGGAUCUUCGGCAAUGGGCGCAAGCCUGACCGAGCGACGCCGCGUGCGCGAUGAAGGCCUUCGGGUUGUAAAGCGCUGUCGGGGGGGAGAAAGGCCCGCAAGGGCUUGAUCGACCCCCGGAGGAAGCACGGGCUAAGUUCGUGCCAGCAGCCGCGGUAAGACGAACCGUGCGAACGUUGUUCGGAAUCACUGGGCUUAAAGGGCGCGUAGGCGGGCCCGUCGGUCAGGGGUGAAAGCCCGCGGCUCAACCGCGGAAGUGCCCCUGAUACCGCGGGCCUCGAGGGGGGUAGGGGCGUGCGGAACUUCCGGUGGAGCGGUGAAAUGCGUAGAUAUCGGAAGGAACACCGGUGGCGAAAGCGGCGCGCUGGACCCCUUCUGACGCUGAGGCGCGAAAGCCAGGGGAGCAAACGGGAUUAGAUACCCCGGUAGUCCUGGCCCUAAACGAUGGGUACUAGGUAGUGGGCUUACAUGGGCUCACUGCCGAAGCAAAAGUGCUAAGUACCCCGCCUGGGGAGUAUGGUCGCAAGGCUG